rnacentral:lncRNA from 1 species
GAGGGAUAUGAUAUUUUCUUACAAUAAAAUCUUAGUCCUCUUGCGACACUUUAAAAAAGGGAUUAGAUGGUGGGGAAUGGCUGAUUGAAUCGGGAGGGGGGGAGUUGAAGCAUAGGGAGGUAGGAGCACCCUUCCCUUUGGAAUUACGGUCACUCUUAGGAGUUUUACUCUUCUUUUUGGGUUUCAAAGAAGGUAAACUCCUAUGUUGGUCAAAAGUAGUGGUACUCUCGUCGUCAACAUUAGAAUCCUCCCUAAAAACUACUCCUAGGUCUUAUCUCUUCCUUCCCUUCUCUGGAUUCCCUGGAGUUGUCCUUAGAUCUCUCCUCGCUCAGUUCAGAGAAAUGACUAUAUCUAGGGGCAACAUGGAAUUAAGAUAACUCCCCACGAUCACCAUUCAAAUCCUCACUAUCUUCCAAAAACAUAAACUCUUUUUUCUCUUCAUAUCUAAUGCAAAACCACCGAGCAACAAACUCAACAUAACCAACAACAAAAAAAGAAAAAAAAAGAUGAGGAAAAAGAAGGUCAUACCUAGAUACGA